GUAGUAUUCCCUCCGUCCCAAAAUUCUGGUCUUACAUUUGUUUAGAUACAAAUGUAUCUAACACUAAAAUGUAAUUAGAUACAUCCGUAUUUAGACAAAUUUAAGACAAGAAUUUUGGGACAGAGGGAGUACAAA
rnacentral:pre_miRNA from 1 species